AUGCAGAGGUCGGGGCGGUACUGCGGUGGCGCUGCACUGCAACAGAAGAAGAAGAGGGAGGCGCGACAGAGGCGAUGGCACGCGGGUCCGGCGAGCUCCGACCCGUGGCGGCGCACGGCGAAGUGGGGCGGCACACGCACAGAGGCAGGUUGCGACGUGGCGAGGUGGCCUGGUGGCGGCGAAGGGCGACGCUGA
rnacentral:rRNA from 1 species